CGUGCUAUGGUUAGGACCUCUCCUAGACUUUUUGCGAUGUGGAGAAGGGAUCUAUGAAGGAAUAUGAUGGUGGCAAGGAAGAAGAAGAGGGGUUGCUAGGGUUAAUACCUCUCCUAGACUUUUGGAGAAGAGAGAAAGAGGAAGAGAGAGGGGAGAUGAUCCCCAUAAGGGGGCAUUCCAAAAGAUGGAGGCCUUAAGGCAUUAUUUAUAGAGUGGGGAAUAGGGCAUUAGGGUUUGUGGCGACACCUAGAAGUCUUAGUGCAUGAAG
rnacentral:lncRNA from 1 species